GAUGAACGCUGACGGAAUGCUUAACACAUGCAAGUCAACUUGAACUUCGGUUUGGGUGGCGGACGGGUGAGUAACGUGUAAAGAACUUGCCUCACAGAUAGGGACAACAUUUGGAAACGAAUGCUAAUACCUGAUAUUAUGAUUAUAUGGCAUCGUAUAAUUAUGACAGCUAUAUGCGCUGUGAGAGAGCUUUGCGUCCCAUUAGCUAGUUGGAGGGGUAACGGCUCACCAAGGCGAUGAUGGGUAGCCGGCCUGAGAGGGUGAUCGGCCACAAGGGGACUGAGACACGGCCAUUACUCCUACGGGAGGCAGCAGUGGGGAAUAUUGGACAAUGGACCAAGAGUCUGAUCCAGCAAUUCUGUGUGCACGAUGAAGUUUUUCGGAAUGUAAAGUGCUUUCAGUUGGGAAGAAAAAAAUGACGGUACCAACAGAAGAAGUGACGGCUAAAUACGUG
rnacentral:rRNA from 1 species